AUACUGACCUCCCAGGGGAGAUACCAUGAUAACGAAAGUAGUUUUCCCAGGGUGAGAUUUAUCCAUUGCACUCCAGAUGUGCUUACCCUGUGAUUUCCCCAAAUGUGGGAGACUCAACUGCAUACUUUGUGGUAGUGAGGGACUGCGUUCACGCUCUCCCUUG